rnacentral:rRNA from 1 species
CUCAGAACGAACGCUGGCGGCAGGCUUAACACAUGCAAGUCGAACGCCCCGCAAGGGGAGUGGCAGACGGGUGAGUAACGCGUGGGAACAUACCCUUUCCUGCGGAAUAGCUCCGGGAAACUGGAAUUAAUACCGCAUACGCCCUACGGGGGAAAGAUUUAUCGGGGAAGGAUUGGCCCGCGUUGGAUUAGCUAGUUGGUGGGGUAAAGGCCUACCAAGGCGACGAUCCAUAGCUGGUCUGAGAGGAUGAUCAGCCACAUUGGGACUGAGACACGGCCCAAACUCCUACGGGAGGCAGCAGUGGGGAAUAUUGGACAAUGGGCGCAAGCCUGAUCCAGCCAUGCCGCGUGAGUGAUGAAGGCCUUAGGGUUGUAAAGCUCUUUCACCGAUGAAGAUAAUGACGGUAGUCGGAGAAGAAGCCCCGGCUAACUUCGUGCCAGCAGCCGCGGUAAUACGAAGGGGGCUAGCGUUGUUCGGAAUUACUGGGCGUAAAGCGCACGUAGGCGGAUAUUUAAGUCAGGGGUGAAAUCCCGCAGCUCAACUGCGGAACUGCCUUUGAUACUGGGUAUCUUGAGUAUGGAAGAGGUAAGUGGAAUUCCGAGUGUAGAGGUGAAAUUCGUAGAUAUUCGGAGGAACACCAGUGGCGAAGGCGGCUUACUGGUCCAUUACUGAC